GGAAGCAGAACUCGUUUGGUAGAGUGUCCCACUUUUAAUGGGAAAGUCCAGGUUCAAUUCCUGGUGCUUUCA